AGCGAACGCUGGCGGCAGGCCUAACACAUGCAAGUCGAACGAACUCUUCGGAGUUAGUGGCGGGCGGGUGAGUAACACGUGGGAACGUGCCUUUAGGUUCGGAAUAACUCAGGGAAACUUGUGCUAAUGCCGAAUGUGCCCUUCGGGGGAAAGAUUUAUCGCCUUUAGAGCGGCCCGCGUCUGAUUAGCUAGUUGGUGAGGUAAAGGCUCACCAAGGCGACGAUCAGUAGCUGGUCUGAGAGGAUGAUCAGCCACAUUGGGACUGAGACACGGCCCAAACUCCUACGGGAGGCAGCAGUGGGGAAUCUUGCGCAAUGGGCGAAAGCCUGACGCAGCCAUGCCGCGUGAAUGAUGAAGGUCUUAGGAUUGUAAAAUUCUUUCACCGGGGACGAUAAUGACGGUACCCGGAGAAGAAGCCCCGGCUAACUUCGUG
rnacentral:rRNA from 1 species